GAUGAAGAACGCAGUAAAAUGCGAUAAGUAAUGUGAAUUGCAGAAUUCAGUGAAUCAUCGAAUCUUUGAACGCACAUUGCGCCCGCCAGUAUUCUGGCGGGCAUGCCUGUUCGAGCGUCAUUUCAACCCUCAAGCCCUCGGGUUUGGUGUUGGGGAUCGGCGAGCCUUUCUGGCAAGCCGGCCCCGAAAUCUAGUGGCGGUCUCGCUGCAGCCUCCAUUGCGUAGUAGUAAAACCCUCGCAACUGGAACGCGGCGCGGCCAAGCCGUUAAACCCCCAACUUCUGAAUGUUGACCUCGGAUCAGGUAGGAAUACCCGCUGAACUUAAGCAUAUCAAUAAGCGGAGGA
rnacentral:misc_RNA from 1 species